GUAUAGUAAGGCGUCAAAAACCAUCCAAAAAGUCAUAGUAUAGUAAGGCGUCAAAAAUGGUCAAAAAAAUCAUAGUAUAGUAAGGCGUCAAAAAUGGUCAAAAAAAGUCAUAGUAUAGUAAGGCGUCAAAAACCAUCCAAAAAAGUCAUAGUAUAGUAAGGCGUCAAAAAUGGUCAAAAAAAGUCAUAGUAUAGUAAGGCGUCAAAAAACCAUCCAAAAAGUCAUAGUAUAGUAAGGCGUCAAAAAUGGUC